UGGCUGCAGUGGGGAAUUUUGGACAAUGGGCGAAAGCCUGAUCCAGCCAUUCCGCGUGAGUGAAGAAGGCCUUCGGGUUGUAAAGCUCUUUCGCAAGAGAAGAAAACUUAGUUACUAAUAUUAACUGAGGUUGACGGUAUCUUGAUAAGAAGCACCGGCUAACUACGUGCCAGCAGCCGCGGUAAUACGUAGGGUGCGAGCGUUAAUCGGAAUUACUGGGCGUAAAGCGUGCGCAGGCUGUUUUGUAAGUCAGAUGUGAAAUCCCCGAGCUCAACUUGGGAACUGCGUUUGAAACUACAAGACUAGAAUAUGUCAGAGGGGGGUAGAAUUCCACGUGUAGCAGUGAAAUGCGUAGAGAUGUGGAGGAAUAUCAAUGGCGAAGGCAGCCCCCUGGGAUAAUAUUGACGCUCAUGCACGAAAGCGUGGGGAGCAAACAGGAUUAGAUACCCUGGUAGUC
rnacentral:rRNA from 1 species